rnacentral:lncRNA from 10 species
AGACAUUUCUUGCUCCAGGAGCCAUGGUGCAACCCAGAGGGCAUGAGGAGGUGCUGUAGAAGGAGGUCAUGGUGUAGGGCUGAGGCUGCACAGGAGCUUCAGAUCAGCUGGGAAGGCUGAGCCACUGAGACUGAAGCCUCCUCUCCUCCCAACCCUUUUAUACCCCAUCCUGGGCGGGUGUUGGCUCCAGUGCUUUGACCUCCUGCCUUGAUUAUCUACCUGUUGUGGUGCCAUCAUCCUGUUACUCAGCUGCUGAGUUUACCAUGAGAAGUUCCUCAGCUCAUUAAAGCAAUGUUGACAAAUCUGAGAUGCCUCUUGGCUCUUCCAUAUCAGGUUAGCUGUUGGUGGGAAGUCAGAGACUCACUGUUUCUGCUCAACAAACACCAGCAGUUGAUUCAGGCCCCAAUUGCUCUCUCUGGACUAUGGUCUCUGUGGAUGUGGUCACAAUGAAGGCUCAAAUCUUUCCGUCAGUAAUUUGUGUAGCAGGAGACACAGAGAACCAAUGGGACCCACUGGAUCUUUCGCCUGUGCAAGACUGAAUCAGCCUUUCCUUUGAAGAGAAAAUAUCAGUUAAUAAAACCAAUGCAUCUACUGAUAUUUGACGAUUGAGAGGCGCCUUUUUUUCUUUCUUCUUUCACAUUGCAUACUCCCUUGAGAAGCAAUAACAUCUGGAAGCAAUGGCGCUAAUUAAGUUUUGGUUGACUAGUCAGAAUCAGCUAUUCAUUCAUUUGUUCAUUCAUUCAUUGGUUCAGCAUGCUUCCUGAAUAUCCCCCAUAACUCAGGCAGUGUGCUGGUUCCUGGACACGCAAUGUUCCCUGUUCAUCAGGAGUAAACAAUGCCUCUGAAAUCUCUGGAUGUUCUACACAAACUUGAAUGAGAACCAUAGAUCAACAAGAGUUAGUGAAAGACAGAGGAUCUAUAGUUCUGGCCAAGGAAGUAUCUAGAAAGAAAUCACUAACAAAGAAAAAUCUUAUUUGAUCCAGGAAAGGGAGAUUGGGCACAGAGCUCAAGC